rnacentral:lncRNA from 1 species
GGAAGAGGGCUCUGCGGAAUGCUUAGGAGACCCCUCCGCCUGAGCUGCUCCAGGGCCGGGACUUCGAGACUUCCACUUCACCACCACAGGACNAUCCAAAGCAGACAGACUGGGAGACGCAGCGCAGAUGCACAGAGAAAGGAUGAGGCUGCUGCAGGGGAUGGGAGUGGUGAAAGAGUCUUUCUACAGAGUCUUGGCUCUCCUGGAACUCUAUAUACCAGGCUGGACUUGAACUCACAGAGAUCCGCCUGCCGCUGCCUCCUAAGCGCUGGGAUUAAAGGCGUGUGCCAGCGUGCCUAGCCUAACGUAGCUNCCCCACUUUCCACCUUCACUAGCAAGUGCAAUGCUUCUGGGUG